GACGAACGCUGGCGGCGUGCUUAACACAUGCAAGUCGAACGGAAAGGCCCUGCUUUUGUGGGGUGCUCGAGUGGCGAACGGGUGAGUAACACGUGAGUAACCUGCCAUUUACUUUGGGAUAACUUCAGGAAACUGGGGCUAAUACCGGAUAGGAGCUCCUGCUGCAUGGUGGGUGUUGGAAAGUUUCGGCGGUUGGGGAUGGACUCGCGGCUUAUCAGCUUGUUGGUGGGGUAGUGGCUUACCAAGGCUUUGACGGGUAGCCGGCCUGAGAGGGUGACCGGCCACAUUGGGACUGAGAUACGGCCCAGACUCCUACGGGAGGCAGCAGUGGGGAAUAUUGCACAAUGGGCGGAAGCCUGAUGCAGCAACGCCGCGUGCGGGAUGACGGCCUUCGGGUUGUAAACCGCUUUCGCCUGUGACGAAGCGUGAGUGACGGUAAUGGGUAAAGAAGCACCGGCUAACUACGUG
rnacentral:rRNA from 1 species